AAAAAGAAAUUUAUCUCUCUCUCUCUCUCGCGCGCUGCACAGCCCCCCCCCCCCCCGUUCUCUUCUCUUUUCCUUUCUCUUUUCUCUUCUCCCUUCCGUCUCCUUCCGUUCGCAGCCAGCAACCGCCGCCCCUUCUUCUCUUUUCUUCCUCUUUCGUUCGACGUCGACGAUCAGACCAAGCCGAAAACGAAAACCCAUCCCUCUUUUCUUCUUCGGAUCUAAACCGCCGCGCCCAUCCGCCUGUAACCGUCGUGCCUCUCCGCUCACAACCGUCGUGCCUCCCUCGGAAAGCAAAUCGUCGUCCAGAUCUGCAUUGCCGAGCCGUCCAGGUCCUCGCCGCCGCUCGUGCUUCACCUUGUAGUUCGCCGUAACCCAGAUCCAUCGCUGUCCGAUCUCUUCUCCUCGUCCCGCCGUCGCCGCUGCACUCGCCUGAAGUCAUCGUCCGUCCUGUUUCGCGAAGCUCCGCCGCUCCACCUGUUAUCGACGGCGGCCGACUAGCUCUUAUUAAAAAAAAAAAAAAUCCAAAACCCUUCUGCCUUCGUUUGCAAAACGUCGCGGCGUGAAUUCUGCCUUCUAAUCGUGGAUUUGACCUCCAAGUUGUGAGUUGAUUGGUAUUGUGGAUAUAGUAAUAUUGUUCUUGGCUAGUAAGUUUUAAAAACUGGUUAAUUGAUUUGGGUAAUGCUGAUUUUAAGGUGAUACUGAAGAGGUCGUGCUUAGAUAUCUAAGUUCCAACGUGAGCUUCAUUGGAAUUGUUGCUUCAUUCUACUUGGAAUUUGUCUUAUUGAAUUUAGCCCGAUUGAAAAACUUACAUAACCUUGAGGUAAGGGAUUUUCUACUGGACUCACCUAAAGUUUUUGAGUUGUGUUGGACUGUAUGGAUGAUGAUUAAGAUGUACAUGUUUGAUUGCAGACUAAAUGUUUAGUGUAUGUUGUAUUUGACUGGAAACAUAU
rnacentral:lncRNA from 1 species